GACAGAGGCCCCAAGCGUUAGGCGGAAUCACUGGGCCUAAAGCGUGUGUAGGCGGACGCCUAAGUGUCUUGUGAAAUCCCACGGCUCACCCGUGGAACUGCUGGGCAUACUGGGCGUCUUGGGCCAACUAGGGGCAGCCGGAACAAGCGGUGGAGCGGUGAAAUGCGUAGAUAUCGCUUGGAACGCCGAAGGUGAAAACAGGCUGCUGGGGUUGUGCCGACGCUGAGACACGAAAGCCAGGGGAGCAAACGGG
rnacentral:rRNA from 1 species